UGAUUUAAUUUCAUUAUUUUGGAUUUUAUUGAUAUUGCCUCAAGGAGUCGCAUCAUAGACUUGAACACCUACAUAUAAGGUGAAUAGUUUAGGUGAUUACACAUCACAACCAGAACUUGGAUCAAUCUCCAAGACAUAUGAUACUCUAACAGAGUAUAGGACAUUUACUAUCUUUAUAAAAGACAACAUAUUGUCUAUAAAAAACAAAUGAGAGAACAUUUUCUCCCCUUUACUAUAUGCAAUAUAUCAUUAUUCAAAUAAUGUGGGAAACAUUUUCCCACACAAGGUCUGAUCUUUAAACAUUUCAUUGAUUUCUAAUCACAGAGUGAUGAUAACAUGUACAAUUCCCAGUUUGGGUAAAUAAUCAUCAUGGAGAAUCAGUGAUUCUGUAGCUCAAGUUGAUCAAUAACAAAUGUUUAACUGAUACAUACCUCACAGAAGAUGCUCAAUAUAAUGUUAAUAUGACCAUAUCACUACAACAAAGUUGUAACAAAAUUGCUAAUUCUUCCAUACGAGUUGACCUUUACAAAGAUCGAUAAUGGAGUGCAACAGUCUGAGUCAUAACACCCAUAAAAACCUAGAGGUCAAGCAGCGAAAUGGUUCCAAUUGUUUUUCCAACAUUCAUUUUUCCCGUAUGGGAUUUUAGAAACACUUAAACAUGUAGUCUUACCCUGGUGUGACAUUUUGAUAACCAUGAAAAUCUAUCUUGGACAAGGUGAUUUUUAUCAAUAUAUUUUCCUGCAUUUUCCCCCCAAAUUAAAUGCUAAUUAGCUGCUAAUGUGGCUAUCAUAAAGAACUACAAAUGCCAUGAUGAUCUGGACCAGACUGCCGAAUCGAGGCAAAGGUAAGAAUUUCUGUGUUAACUAUCUAAUGUUAGCUAAAUGUACUAAUGAAUACAUUGGCUACAUUGGCUACAUUUCUUUAUGCUACAUUUCUCUUUUGUGCAAGUUAUAAAUUGACACAAUAACUGUUAGCAAAUGUGUCAGCUAGAGAUGACGUGCAGGAGCUUGCAGGGAUUUGCAGUUUUGCAUGAUGUCUACUUUGAUGCUGAUUGUCAUUUUUGAAUCUGAGAGCAAAUGCAGAUGAAAGUCACCUUGUCCGAGAGAGAUUUUAAAUGGUCAGCAAAACGUUAUGCCAGGGUAAGCCUACACAAAACGUUAUGCCAGGGUAAGCCUACACAAAACGUUAUGCCAGGGUAAGCCUACACAAAACGUUAUGCCAGGGUAAGCCUACACAAAACGUUAUGCCAGGGUAAGCCUACACAAAACGUUAUGCCAGGGUAAGCCUACACAAAACGUUAUGCCAGGCUAAGCCUACACAAAACGUUAUGCCAGGGUAAGCCUACACAAAACGUCAUGCCAGGGUAAGCCUACACAAAACGUCAUGCCAGGGUAAGCCUACAUAAAACGUUAUACCAG
ensembl:lncRNA